UUCGGCUGGACAAUGUACAGGGUGCUGCAUGGCUGUCGUCAGCUCGUGUCGUGAGAUGUUCGGUUAAGUCCGGCAACGAGCGCAACCCACGUCCUUAGUUACCAGCAUUUAGUUGGGUACCCUAAGAGAGACUGCCGGUGAUAAGCCGGAGAGAAGGUGUGGACGACGUCAAGUCAUCAUGGCCCUUACGGGUUGGGCUACACACGUGCUACAAUGGCAUCUACAGUGAGUUAAUCUCCAAAAGAUGUCUCAGUUCGGAUUGGGGUCUGCAACUCGACCCCAUGAAGUUGGAAUCGCUAGUAAUCGCGGAACAGCAUGCCGCGGUGAAUA
rnacentral:rRNA from 1 species